AAUAAAGGUUGAUUGCAUAUUGGUAGUCGGCACCCCAUUCUUGUAUUCCCAUCUUUUUUCUCUGCUUAAAAAAUUAUUCCGUUACUGCUAAGAAUCGCUCACUCUCGGCAUCUCGGUUUGCAUAUUUGUUCAAAUUAAAGAGUGAGCUCAGCGCACUAAUUAGCUGGGCUGCUUGCUGCUAAAUUAGCUUAACUUCAAUGGCAGAGGGAGCAAAUGGACGAGUGCAUGAUCUGAACACCAUGCUUAGCUCUUCAGAUCGAGACUUUCUUAUUCGCAACAACGGCCAACAGGUUAAGGUAGAGAGUUUAAAGGGGAAAAAGGUCGGGUUAUACUUCUCAGCAUCAUGGUGUGGCCCGUGUCGACGUUUCACCCCGAAGCUGGUAGAGGUUUACAAUGAACUCCUUCCAAAGGAUGACUUUGAGAUUGUAUUCGUCUCUGCUGAUGAAGACGAUGAGUCUUUUGCUGCCUAUUUCUCUAAGAUGCCCUGGCUAGCCAUUCCCUUCUCGGACUCUGAGACACGUGAUCGCUUGGAUGAAUUAUUCAGUGUCAGGGGAAUUCCACAUCUUGUGAUUAUUGGUGAAAAUGGGAAGGUCUCAACUGAUGAUGGAGUUGAGGUCGUCCAAGGGUGUGGAGCAGAAGGAUAUCCAUUUAGCCCUGAAUGGAUUAAAGAAAUUAAAGAACAGGAAGAGGUGGCGAGGAGGAAUCAGACCUUGAAGACUAUCUUAGUCUCAAGAUCACGUGACUAUGUGGUUGCUAGUGAUGGGAAGAAGGUCUCCGUUGCUGAAUUAGAAGGGAAGACUGUUGGCCUGUACUUCUUCUUAUCGACAUUCGGUGGUCGCAAUGCUUUUACUUCUAAACUACUUGAACUUUAUGAGAAGUUGAAGGCAAAGGGAGAGAAUUUUGAGAUUGUGAUGAUACCCCUUGAUGAUGAUGAAGAAUCAUAUAAGUUAUGGUUUAAAAACAUGCCUUGGCUUUCGCUGCCUGUCAAGGACAAGGGUUGUGAGAAGUUAGUACGGUAUUUUGAGCUGUUUACACUGCCUACUGUGGUCAUCAUUGGGCCAGAUGGAAAAACUCUACAUUCUAAUGUUGCUGAAGCAAUCGAAGAACAUGGCGUCCAAGCUUAUCCUUUCACACCUGAGAAGUUUGCGGAGCUUGAGGAAAUAGAAAAGGCAAAGAGAGAAGCACAAACGCUUGAGUCCAUUCUGGUUUCUGGAGAUCACAAUUUCGUGAUAGGAAAAGAUGGGGUAAAGGUUCCAGUGUCUGAUCUUGUUGGAAAGACUAUACUCCUUUACUUCUCCGCUCACUGGUGCCCUCCUUGUCGUGCUUUUCUGCCGAAGCUUAUUGAAGCAUAUCACGGGAUCAAAGCUAAGAACGGUGCAUUUGAAGUCGUCUUCAUCUCAAGCGACAGGGAUCAAAACUCGUUUGAUGAGUUCUUUUCCAAGAUGCCUUGGCUGGCACUUCCCUUUGGUGAUGGAAGGAAGGAAUCUCUAAGUCGAGUAUUUAAGGUGCUCGGCAUACCUAUGUUAGUUGCCAUUGGGCCUACCGGAAAGACUGUCACAACCGAAGCCAGAGAUCUUAUAACAUAUCAUGGUGCUAAUGCCUAUCCCUUCACGGAGGAGCGACUGAAGGAGAUCGAGGAGGAGUAUGAUGAGAUGGCAAAGGGGUGGCCUGAGAAGGUGAAGCACACAUUACACGAUGAGCAUGAGCUUGUUCUUACUAAGCGUCAAUCUUUCGUGUGUGAUGGAUGUGAUGAGGGGGGACAGGUCUGGUCAUUCUACUGCGGAGAGUGUGACUAUGAUCUCCACCCAAAGUGUGCUCUGGAAGAAGACAUGAUGGAGAUCACAGACGAGGCAGAAACAGAAGUUUCAAAUAAAGACCAGAAAGAAGGAUGGAUUUGCGAUGGAGAUGUGUGCUACAAAACCUAUCCAGACUAUUGCAGAUAUCGAGUUAUCAACCUAAGACUAGAGAUGGCUUUGAACAAGGGUGAAGAAACAGUUUCUCAUGAUAUUACCUCCCUCCUUUCUUCACCGGAGAGAGAUUUUCUUGUGCGAAAUAAUGGUGAUCAGGUAAAAAUCGAGUCUUUGAUUGGAAAGGCAGUCGGAUUAUAUUUCUCAGGUUCAUGGUGUGGCCCUUGUCUACGUUUCACCCCAAAUUUGGUGCAAGUCUAUAAUGAGCUCUCCAGUAAUGCUGAUUUUGAGGUUGUUUUCGUCUCUUCUGAUAGAGACGAGGAAUCAUUCAAUGCUUAUUUCAAAAAAAUGCCAUGGCUUGCUUUUCCUUUUGCUGAGUCGGAGACAAGGCAAAGUCUGAAGGAGUUGUUCAAAGUCAGGGGAAUUCCGCAUCUGGUGAUCCUUGAUGGGAGUGGGAGGGUUUCUACUGAAGAGGGUGUUAGGAUCAUCUAUGACCAUGGUGCUGAUGGCUACCCGUAUACCCCAGAAAAAAUUAAUGAUUUGAAAGAGGAAGAAGAAAGAGCUAGAAGGGAACAAUCUUUAAUGUCUAUCUUGACGCACGAUUCGCGUGACUAUCUUAUUUCAAAUGAUGGAAACAAGAUUCCUGUAUCGGAGCUUGAAGGAAAAACAGUUGGCCUGUAUUUCUCAGUGAGUUCUCACAGAGGAUGCCUUCAUUUCACCGAUAGACUCUUAGAAGUGUAUAAGAAGCUUAGAGAGAAAGGAGAAGCUUUUGAACUUGUGCUUGUGUCUUUAGACGAUGAUGAACAAGAAUUCAAAAAUUGUUAUGAACCCAUGACAUGGUUGGCCUUGCCUUUUAAGGACAAGACCUGUGAUAAACUGGUGAGGCACUUUGAACUUGGAACCCUUCCCACACUAGUUGUAAUCGGUCCAGAUGGCAAGACUCUCCACUCAAAUGUGGUCGAAUCAAUUGAAGAACAUGGUGAUGAGGCCUACCCUUUUACGCCUGAAAAGUUUGCUAAGCUUGCUGAGAUAGAAAAGGCAAAACUUGAAGCACAGACGUUGGAGUCUAUUCUUAUUUCUGCAGAUAAGGACUUUGUCAUCUCUAAAGAUGGAUCAAAGGUUCCAGUUUCUGAACUCGUUGGGAAGAACGUUCUCCUCUAUUUUUCAGCUCACUGGUGUCCUCCAUGCCGUCAUUUUCUACCUCGAUUCAUUGCGGUGUACGAGGAAAUCAAAGCUAAGGAUGAUGCGUUUGAAGUAAUUUUCAUCUCGAGUGAUCAUAAUCAAUCAUCCUUCGAUGAUUUCUUUUCAGGCAUGCCGUGGUUAGCACUUCCAUUUGGUGAUGAGAGAAAGGCGCUUCUGCAACGUAGGUUCAAGAUCAAAGGCAUUCCAGCUGUGGUAGCAAUUGGACCUAAUGGGAGGACAGUAAGUACGCAAGCCAGGCAGCUUAUACAAGCUCAUGGAGCAGAUGCCUACCCGUUCACUGAGGAGCGUGUAAAGCAAUUAGAGGAACAGGCAAAGGGUGGCCUGAGAAACUGAAGCAUGAACUCCAUAUUGAGCAUGAGCUGAUACUUGCUCGCCGUACUGCAUAUGUUUGUGAGGGCUGCCAGGAGAUGGGACAUGGAUGGUCUUACCUAUGCGAUCAAUGCAACUUUGAUCUCCAUCCAAAAUGUUCCUCUGAAGAAAGAAGAAUCAAAGGCUGAUCAAGACAGUCAUCCUGGAGGAGAGCCUGGCAAAGCCAAAGAGCGCUAUGUAUGUGAUCAUUUAGCAUAAUAACUAUUCUGGCGUGUUAAAUGCUGAGACUUGUAUGUAAGCAUUAACUUAUUUGUAAUACCAGUAAAGGCCGAAGCUUGUACUUUUAGCCUUCUAGUCCCAAAGAACUGCAGGACUUAAUCUUCCGUGGAUGGACUGAAUUCUCCAUUAGAAUGAAGUCAGGAAUGCAGGUUUAAGAUGUACCUUUAGGCCAGAUCUAACAGGUACCCAUGCUACUUAUCCCUUUUUUUUUUUUAAACACUUUUUAGUUC